rnacentral:snoRNA from 1 species
UGGCUCUGUGGUGGCCUCUUGUUGGAGGUGAGCAGUGGAGCAUGAGAACAGGUCCGGGGGUCUGAGUCCCAG